GCAGUCGUGGCCGAGUGGUUAAGGCGAUGGUCUAGAAAUCCAUUGGGGUCUUCCCGCACAGGUUCGAAUCCUGUCGACUACG
rnacentral:tRNA from 1 species